rnacentral:rRNA from 1 species
AGGGAAUAUUGGUAAUGUGCGAAAGCGCGAACCAGCAACGCCGCGUGCACGAUGAAGGCCUUCGGGUUGUAAAGUGCUUUUAGAGAGGAUGAGGAAGGACAGUACUUUCUGAAUAAGCCUCGGCUAACUACGUGCCAGCAGCCGCGGUAAAACGUAGGAGGCUAGCGUUAUCCGGAUUUACUGGGCGUAAAGCGCGUGCAGGUGGUUUCGUAAGUUGGAUGUGAAAGCUCCUGGCUUAACUGGGAGAGGUCGUUCAAAACUGCGAGGCUUGAGAGUGGUAGAGGGAGGUGGAAUUCCGGGUGUAGUGGUGAAAUGCGUAGAUAUCCGGAGGAACACCAGUGGCGAAAGUGGCCUCCUGGACCAUUUCUGACACUCAGACGCGAAAGCUAAGGUAGCAAACG